rnacentral:rRNA from 1 species
CCUUUGACGUUAGCGGCGGACGGGUGAGUAACAACGUGGGUAACCUACCUAUAAGACUGGGAUAACUUCGGGAAACCGGAGCUAAUACCGGAUAAUAUUUCGAACCGCAUGGUUCGAUAGUGAAAGAUGGUUUUGCUAUCACUUAUAGAUGGACCCGCGCCGUAUUAGCUAGUUGGUAAGGUAACGGCUUACCAAGGCGACGAUACGUAGCCGACCUGAGAGGGUGAUCGGCCACACUGGAACUGAGACACGGUCCAGACUCCUACGGGAGGCAGCAGCC